GAAAAAUUACAUAUACACCAAAAUCCUCACCAUUUAUUAUUAUUUAUGCACGGUGUGUAUAUGUAACGGGGUUUUAUUUUAACUGUAAUAUAGAUGUGAAGUUUGUCAAAAUGUAAUUUAUUCUUUGAAUUUAUUUUGUUCAGUCAAGUUGUUUCUCCAAACAUUUGUUGGUGUUUUAAGUUGCUGCUCUUGACAGUUGGUGGUUACUAUAGAAACCGGUAACUGACAGCCCCKCCYYCUUUUCCUGUUGCCGUCGGUAACUGYGGUAUGUACUAGAAUCGGCUCAGUUUUCUUUACAAAUGAACUUGAAUGUGUCUGUUGUGAAGUCAACCAACCUACCGGACCUGAGACGAAUAUAAGAAGGGUUAAAGUUUCUACAACUGUWGGAAAAGCGUAAAAGCGAGGCCCACCUCCACUGGAGUUCAUUUUGACCAGAACAUGAUCUCCAUCUGCUUUGACUAUUGCCGACAUCACCUCUUGAACAGAUGAGCUUACAGGGAGCAUCAAGGAGAGAGCAGAAGGCCGUACAGCGCCACCCACUGGGCAAUCAGCUUCACUACCUUCUGUUUGGUGUUGAAGAUGUAAGCAGUCUUCUCCUGAUCUGAGCCUUURGACAACUCUGCCUGGAUAUUGAUGCUGCAGAGCUGAGCACAGCUGGCUGGACGGCAUGAAGACUUUAUGUGUGAGCAGGAAGUCGCUCACGCAGGGAUCUGAGGAUCGUUCCCAUUGGAAUCCAGCUUCAGUGUGUCCAGGAGAUGUUCCAGGAUUUUUUCAGGAGUUCCCGACAUAACUGUGUAUCUGCAACAGAAAGGAAAGGAAGAAAACGUC